CUCAUUAUGUCUCAUCAAUUUACAAUGUCAAAUCUAAUUACAAUUUUAAAACCAAAUCAAAUUACAAAUGAAAUAUUAAGCCAAAUCAAAUUACAAUUUAAAACAAUAAAGAAAACCCCUUUAUGCUGUCUUGCCAGCUGUUACAUGCCUUGUUUGUUUUCCUUUUGCUGCACUACCUUGCUUUUGCUCUAGCUGCCUGCCUUAUUUGAUCUUUCUGUUGCUGCACUGCAUUGAAGCACUAUCAUUGUGCCUGUUUUGUAACUAAAAAAAGAUAGUCUUAUAAGUCAGAGAGAUGAUAUGUAAGUAACGAAAGUCAACUAUCUUUUCCAUUAGCCAUGGUACACAUUAUGCAGAGCAAAGAGACAAACUUUUGAGUUUUAAAAAAAUAAACUAAAAGACAAAUUCAAAUGGCAAAUAAAACAAAAGUUCAGCAAAUGAACAAAUAAAAAUAAACAUAAGCUAAAACCAUGAUAGCAUCAGAUGUGCAGGAAAAAAACGCAGAUGAUGAGCAAAAGAAAAGAAGAAUCAAACAAUAUAUUGGAAAGCUCAAACUCAAACAGAGGCACAGACAAAGAAAGCAACUGAACAAUUAAAGAAAACUCUAUAAAUAGAGUUUGUUUUUUAAGAAAGGAGAAGAGUUUUUUUCAAAAGAGAAAUAAAUAAAAGAGAAUUUUUUUUAGAAAAGGAGAGAUUCUGAAAUAAAAAUGAAGUUGAACAGGGAAGAAACAACAAUCUAAAUCCAUCCUCAAAAUCAUAUAUUUCAAAACUAAAAGAAAAAAAAAACAAGAGACAGAGGACAUUACCGUCAUUCUAGCUUCCACCGGUAACCGCCGUCAACCACCAUCAACCGUUACACUCCGCCGCCUUCUUCUUCGCCACUAUACACAAAUCUGUGUCUCUCAAGUUAGUCUUUGUUCUUUAUCACUUUUAAUAUAGUGUUUCAUUUGUUUUGUUGUUUGUUUGGUUUAGCUUUGGUUUCAUGCUAAAUGAUGUUUUUUUUUCAUUUGCUUUGCUGCCUUUUAUUUAAAUAUGAGGUUAUUAUUAAAAAUUUCAAAUGAUAUGUUGGAAGUUGGAACUUAUCAUGGAAAGAUGAAGCACGUAAAUGUCCAAGCAUCCA
rnacentral:lncRNA from 1 species